GCAUGGCCCCUUUCUGAACUGACCUAGA
rnacentral:piRNA from 1 species